CAGCAGUGCGCAGGGCUG
rnacentral:miRNA from 1 species